UUGGAGGGCAAGUCUGGUGCCAGCAGCCGCGGUAAUUCCAGCUCCAAUAGCGUAUAUUAAAGUUGUUGCAGUUAAAAAGCUCGUAGUUGAAUUUCGGGAUCAAUACGUCGGUCGUGCCUCUGGUAUGUACUGUUGUCAUUGGUUUCUCCUUUCUGACGAGCCAUGAUGUCAUUAAUUUGGUGUCGUGGGGAAUCAGGACUGUUACUUUGAAAAAAUUAGAGUGUUUAAAGCAGGCUAACGCUUGAAUACAUUAGCAUGGAAUAAUGAAAUAGGACGUUCGAUCUUAUUUUGUUGGUUUUUAGGGUCAACGUAAUGAUUAAUAGGGAUAGUUGGGGGCAUUAGUAUUCAAUUGUCAGAGGUGAAAUUCUUGGAUUUAUUGAAGACUAACUACUGCGAAAGCAUUUGCCAAGGAUGUUUUCAUUAAUCAAGAACGAAAGUUAGGGGAUCGAAGACGAUCAGAUACCGUCGUAGUCUUAACCAUAAACUAUGCCGACUAGGGAUCGGAUGAUGUUAAUUAUUUAAUGACUCAUUCGGCGCCUUACGGGAAAC
rnacentral:rRNA from 1 species